rnacentral:lncRNA from 1 species
UUUGAAUAUAAUAAAAAUAUUCAAUAAAAUAAACUAUUUUCUUGUAAAAUAAUUUUUUUAUAAAGCUAUUAGUAAAUAAUUCUUAUCGCGUAAAAUUUAAUUAUAUUCAUAUAUACUAUAAAGCAAAUAACCAAAGCAUAAAAUUACUUUUACAGCGACACGUGGGCCCACAUCUAACCAAAAUGCAUCGAAAGUUGAAAACCUACAGCUUUUGUCGAUUCAAGUCCAAAUGAAGGUCCUUGUCAAAGUCGGCUAACUAUGGAAUUCCCUGAGCCUAAAAUGUGAGGAAAUGAGGGUGGUGAAAUUAUAAAAUCCCAGUGAGUAAACAGACACCAUCUAAACUAUCUAAAGGCAAGUAAAUGGAGACGAAUUAAAAUAUUCUUUUCCAAUAUAUGUUUUAUAACAUGAAUAUUCAGUUUACUCAAUUAAUCAACAUGGCUUAUAUAUCUUACAAAACUUGGCUCUUGCCAAAAUUAUUCUCGAAGAUGCCUUGGCCUAGGCAUCUGACCGAGACCACCAAGGCUAUUAAAUAUCUUUACAUCCGAAAUUCUAGCCAUGCCUUGGCGUUGGCUGAGUCUCACUCUCACGCGGUGGUCCACGUGAACUGCACUCAAAUCUUUACCUCCAGAGAAACCCUCCACACGGCUCUCCGAUCGAGGUAAGGUAUAUCUGAUUCUGUGCCCCCUUUCUUAGGCUGGUCCACAAAACCUCCACUGUAGGAAUUAUAGAUUAUUUUAUCUACCACCUGAUUUAUAAAAUCUUUAUUUGCAUGACAUGGUAAUUUAUCGAAAUCUAGCCUCUCAAGGCUGAAUACAUAGUAUAUAUAUAAUUUUGAUACAAAUACCAACUUUGCCAUUCAUGCUCACAUAUUGCUAUAAGCCAUGUAAUUUAAAACACAAUUUAUAACACAAGCGGGCAGUCUCACAUUACUCUAUUUUCAAAACCAGUAUUCAAUUUUCCAGAAAAUUUAUAAAAUCACAAUUUCUCUUAAAACAUAGCAAUUUACCAUUUAAACCCAUUUUUUAUAAAAUCACACAAUUGUGUAAAACUACUCUAGAUAAUUAAGACGAUAAUAAGUUUACUCACAGUUUUAGAAGUCGAUGUACUCCUAAUCCUAGUCUUCAAGCACUAUCUCUAUGCUUUUACCAGUGUAAUUUACUCACCACCUAUCCACAAUGUACAAUACAUAAUUCACCACAUCAAUGCUUGACCAUUAUAAAAUCAAUUCAGGCUCGGUGUAUAUGCAUAAUAUGAUAUGCAACUUAUCCGACUACAGCUUAAAUGCGGUGCUGACCUAAUUCAGCCUAUUACCCGAUUAAUGACAAUUGUGUCCGAUUUGGCUCCAACUUACUCCAUUUUUUUCUAAUACCUCAAUUCACCAAACAUUAUUCAAAUAACACCAAAUUUCGCAUCAAAACCUUCACAUUUCUUCAUGGAAAAAUUCAGCCAUUACAGUGCACUAACACCGUGAUUUUUCCUACUUAAUUUUCUCACCAUUAUUCAUCAUUUUCUAAGCCAUUUCUCUUAAAAUAAUAACAAUCCAUCACCCACACACAUCAAGGAAGAUUCGGCCAUGAAUAUUCAUGGGGAAAAUGGAUUCCUUUCUUGUUGUUUUGCUUCUAAAUAUGCUAAACUAACUAAAAACACUAACAUAUCUUAAAAUCAAAUCAAUCCAAUAUCUUUCUCUCUCCUUACCCAUUUUGACCAGCCAUGAAUUCAUCAUGAAAGCAUGUAAUUUAACCAUAGAAAAUAAGAAGAAAUGCAUGGGAAAGGUAGAUCACAAGUCAAAAUCAAGAAAUUUUCCUUUUGUCACUUGUUUCCUUGAAUUUCCCACACUUUUCUCUUGAAAUUCUUCAUCUAGGGUUUCUUCUUCCUUUCUUUCCCUCUCUUCCUUGCUUGGCUGAAUAUUUGGAGAGAUAAUGGGCUGAUUUAUUCUGAUUUUUAAGUUAAAUAAUAAAAUAUCCUAAGCUUGACACAUGGCAUGUUUCCAUUGGUCCAAAUUUUAAAUAUUUGAUUUUUAAUUCUUAAAUUCUCUACCACAUAUUUCUCAUGUUUAUCCAUUUUCAUGAUGAAUAAAAUCCCUUGGUCUGGACAAAUGUCAGGGUGAAAAUUUAUCGAUUUGCCCCCAACAUGGCAAAAUUACCAUUUCACCCUUAUACUCCAAAUUAUAUUGAAAUUAAAAUUUUUCACUUAUAAACCUCAAAUCAUACUUCAAUUAAUCAAAUCAUACUCCAAUAACUCAAAUGGGACCAAAAAAAUCUUUUCUAAAAUUCUGAUUUUGUCCCCAAGUAGCGAAUGACCAUUUUGCCCCUAGAUAGUAAAAAUUUUGGUUUGACUCCAAAAUGAUCCUCGAACUCCAAAUCACCAUUUUAAAUCAUUCAUGGACUGUGAAACUCUUAAUUUCACCUUAAAAUUCCUAUUUGAACUAGUUCGAGGCUUAAUCGACUUAAUGGUACCAUUAGGGGUAAUAUCGUCUUUUAUCAAUUUCUCAAACUUCCUAAAUAUACAACCAUUUUAUUAAGCAUGUAAAUGACGUCGUAAUUAUUUUAUAGAAUAGGGUUUGACAACUUUUCUCCCAUGUUGAAAAUUAAUAUGUAGUAAAAUAUUUACAUAUAUAUAUAUAUAAGUUUGAAAACUCUUUCAAAACAUGGGUUUAAUCAUAAACACAUUUUCAUUUAUAAAAUAGUGACAAAAAUCCAUAUCAACCAAGUAAAUCACCAAAUCAUGCUUUUAGCUUUAUAUACUAAAAUACUUUAAAAAUAGUGUAUCCAUUCGCCUUUUUCAGAGCAUAUCAAACCUUUUUUUGGCUUUUGACGGAUACUCGACUUCUCCAAAAAUAUCAACUUUUUUUUAUCGUUCCUAGCAUCAUUUAAACGAGAAUCAAUAAUGUGCCUUGCAUCGUAAAUGGCAUUCUAAACAUAACCUUAAGCAUAAAUCUCCAUCUAACUUAGUCUAAAUCUCUAUUAACUUGCUGUUUAUACUUUCAACCAUAGUCUAGUCUCCAAAACUAAUUUUAGUUACUGAUAACUUUACCUUGAUGAGCUCACUAUGUUGGAAAAUGUUUAAAAACUAGCAUUUGAGAUAAAAAUCACAUUUUUAGGAUUUAAUAGAAACUUUGGAGUAAAACCAUAAACUUCAAUGCUUGAAAAUCAUUCUUUUACCUCUAAAAAUGUUGGAAGCCAGAUUUAAUGGUUGAAAAUCACUUGUUCUUGAUGAAAAACAAAUUCGAAGCUUGGAAAAGUGUUGAGAAACUUGAAAGAGUGAAAAAAAAAGAGGUUUGGUGGCUGAGGAAUGUAAAAAGCCCUCAGAUCUUGGGAUUGAUAACAUAUUUAUAGUAUAAGGGGUGAAAUUGUGAGACCUUGUCAAGCUCGAUUAAAAAAUGAGGUUUUUACCCCAUUUAGUUAAUAUUGAUCAAUGUUAGUGUUAUUUGAGGUUGAAAAGUAAAAAUAAUUUGAUUCUGGUACAUUUCGAAGUAUAUGGGCAAAAUCGUAAAUUUUUUCGCCCCGGGGGCAAAUCGGUAAAUUUUUUGCCCCAGCACUUGUAAAGGCCAAGGGAUUUUAUUCAUCCUGUAAAUGGAUAAACAUGAGAAAUUGUGGUGGAGAGAGAUUGCUUAAUGGCUAAGUAUGACACAUGGACCAAUGGAAUGGUGACAUGUGUCAAAAUCUCAUCCAUCCAUUAUUUUCUUUAUAAAAGGCAUAAAAAUCAGCCCAUUUCUCCCAUAGUGAUCAGCCAAACUAGAAGAGAAGAGAAACCAAGGAAGAACAAGCCCUAGGUGGGAAAAAUCAAGAGAAAGUGUUGGAAUUCAAGGAAACAAGCUAGGUAAGUUCAAAUUUCUUUAAUUCUCCUUGAUACCUAGCUUACCCAUGCUUUUGUUCUUGAUUUCCAUGGUUGAAUAUUGAGUUAUCAUGAUGAAUUCAAUUCUGAAAAAUGGGUAUGGAAGAGGAAUUGUUGUUGGAAUAAUUUGAUUUUAGACUAUGUUAGUGUUUAGGGAUAGUUAAGCAUGGUUAUGAACAAAAACACAAAAGAAAUAUUCAAUUUCUCUAGGGUUCCUUGUUGGUCGAACCAUGAGGGCUGAAUAUCAAUGGGGGAUUGUUUUUAUUUCAAGGAAAAUGGCAUGGAAAAUGAUGAAUUAAGGUGAAACGGUUAUGUAGAAAAAAAUUCGAUGCUAGUGCACCAAAUGACCAAAUUUUUCUAUAAGGAACUGUGAGGGUUCUAAUGCUGAAUUUGGCUUUAUUUAAAUGGUAUGUGGUAAAUUAAGGUAUUAGAGGAGAAAUGGAUUAAUUUGGAGGUGAUUUGGACACAAUCGCCAAUUAAUCGGGUGAUCGGUCGAAUUUAAUCGAUACCGCGAUUAAGCGGUAAUCGGACGUAUUUUUGCAUUUACAUAUCAAGCAUUAGUAAUUUAAAUUAGUUUAUAUCAAUUUAGGGACAAUAUAGUAAAUUCCUCGACUUUGUUAUUUGUCAAGGUAGUGAGACGUCCGGAAAAGGCAAAGGAAUUGCGCUUGAGGACUAUUAGUCCGAGUGCACCCGGAAUCUGGAUUUUCGAUACCGGUGAGUGGACUUGCAUUUCAAACUUGUUUUGGGGAAUAUGAAAGAUUCUAUCCAACUUGUCUUAGAAAAUGUACCUUGGGAACAAGCUUUUGUUAAAUGGUUUGAUGUUGUGAUAUGUGAUUGCUAUGGAUUCAUGCAUUAUUGCAAUAUGAUGAUAUAUAUAUAUGUGUGUGUUGCAUGAUGAAUGAUAUUGUGUAUAAUGACUGUAACCGUGUGUGUGCACGAUGUGGGGGGAUGCACAUGCCGGUGAUGAUGGUGGCGUGAGAGAUGGAUGAUGAUAGUGCUCGUGUGCACGAUGUGGGGGGAUGUACACGAUGGCACUGAUUGUGCACGAUGUGGGGGGAUGCACACGAUGGUGCCGGCUAUGUGCACGAUGUGGGGGGAUGUACAUGAGCCGGGUGUGAUUAUGAUGAUAUUGAUGUUUGUCUAUCUAAUUAUGCAUAUCUAGACUUAUGAAAUGAAAGCUCAUGAAUGUGAUAUAUGGUUGACAUAUAUGUGAAAUUUGAUACAUUGCACUUUGGGAAUUUUCAUGAGUUUUAUGUUGAUUUUGUUGGUUUAGUAGGAUGGCCUUUUUGUUGAGUGAAGGGAAACUUUUCUCUUGUUGCUCUGUUUCGCUGCAGCGAGAAACUUUCUGUCCAUUUUGCUAACUUGUGGGUUUUUGCCAUAUUUCCCAUUUCUUUGGUACCAUAGUUGAGCAUGGAUUUUUGUAAAGUGAUUUACUCAUGUGGGGUUUACAUGAGGGGUUUAAAGGAGCUAAAACAAUUGCAUGGUUUUGAGAAAAUGAAUGCAUCAUGAUUUCGAUAAACAUUCCUUAUGGUAUGCUUGUUCCCUUCUUGUUCACUCACUGAGUAUUGUACUCACGUUUUAUUAAAAAAAAUUCAUGUUUUCAGAUUAGGUGACUGUUGGACCCUAGAUCGAGGAGUCCCCGUAGUGCAUCUCCUGGGUAUAUGUCUGGCAUUCGAUAGUAAUCCUUUUUAUUGUAAAUGUCUUCGCUGGAAGUCAUGGGUCCUUUUGUAGUGUGAAUACAAUCUAACAAUGUGAAUAUGUGUAUGCAAUGUAAAUUGAUAAAUACAUGACUGGUAUAGUACAUGUAUAUUAUUAUCGAUAAUGCCAUUGUGUUUUGGCUAUGUUCACACCCGAGAAAAGGUGUGUGUGUGUAUGCAUGAUAUGAUAAAUUUGUUAAGCAAAGGUAAAUGGAUAGGCUUGCUUGGGCUAAGUGAGUUAUGCUUAUUGAGCUCAUGCGCCUGUCAUGGCCUGGGAAAUUGGGUCGUGACAGAAAUUACAUGUUUACCUUUUAUUUUUUUGAAGUCUGAUGCUAAAGUAACAAUACCUUAGGCUUCGGUCGUGAUACUUCUUAAAACAGAAUGGUUUUGUUUAGUGUUUUCUGACUCAAGUUGUCAUGACUCAACUCGGGGGUCCAUGACUGGUGCACUAGCCCGAUAGGUGAAACCCUUGAGAUCUGAGCGAGCCUCAAAAUUUCAUAUUAACAUAUCACAUAGCCAAGGGUUUUAAAUAUUCAUAUUCAUAAAAAUAUUUAAAUUCUAAAUACAAGUAGUUGCCUUUGGCACAUUGUUCAUACAUAAUUUCUGACACAAUAUUAAUACAAUAUUUAUAAGGCCAUACAUUGGCCUACAAAGCGGAUUUGUACUUUACAACCUUUAACACAAAUUCAAAUGGCACAUCGUGCCUACAUACAUAAUAGCUAAACCGAACUCCAAAGGAAAAAGCUCAUGACAAACUCAACGGAGUCGAAUGUCAAGAUGAGGACCUACUAGAUGCCAAAAUUGGUUUGUCAAUGGAUGACUUUUGCCACGUAGUUCUGUGACCUAUUCAUUUGCACAUGGUAUAACAAAUGGGUGAGUCAUCUUAUACUCAGUGAGUGGUGUAGGUAAAUCAAACAUAUAUAUUAGACACAUAUAUAAAUAAUGCACUAUCAAUGUAAACAAAUGUUCUAACAAUUCAUCCUUAUGUGCAAGAAAAUAAACCCACGUAAACCUAGUAUAGUCAUCAUCAAUCACCGACCCAUAGUUUUUUCAACCUAAGCUUGUAGUUAUAGUUGAUCCAAAUAAAUUUAUGUGGAGAAGUUACAAUGCCCUGAUUGUAGUCACAUUCUUUUUGGAUUUAAAAGAGACUCUUCGAUGUUUACUUUUUACAUAAGCAUCAUAAAGUUUAUUAUUCUCAAAAUUUAGCUUAAGGAGUCCUACCAGAAGAUUUAAUGAAUACAAUUUAGCAAGUGUGUUCAUACUAACAUGUCCAAGUUUUUUAUGCCACAACCAAGCAUUUACAUUGUUCUAAUAAUUCUAUUUUAUAGAAUUAUUUUGUCAUAUUUUGUUCUUAAAAGUUAGCUAAGCUCUUAAGUUUAGGUUAAUACGUAGUUAUUUUUAGUGAUUUUUUCUAAUUAGUUUAUUUUUAUUAAGCUAUUCUAUUUUAUGCUCUUUUUAUAACUAUUUGCAUUAGUUUAGUUAUCACUUAUUAAUUUUUAUGUUUUUGUAAGAUUCCAAAAAAAAGGUUGAAAUUGGUGAAGAAAAGUGCUUAAAGGACCAGAGGUCCAAAUGAUGUGGUUCACGAGUCAUUAGAAAGCUAAGAGAAAGCGCUUCAACUUUUAUGGAGACUACUUGGCCCAGUUUUGCCUCAAAGUUGGAGAAAAUUGCAUCGGAAGUCGAUUAAGUGCAGUAGACAAUCUUUGUUUUCUUUUUCCUUAGUCUAGUUUAUUAUCCUUGCAAUUUUUUAUGGUUAAACUUUAGAUGAUUUUUAUUUCAAUCAUGAGUAGUUAAAUUUCUUUUAUUUAGGAUUGCAAUUGAACUCACAUACAGUCUAAAUUUUUAAUCUCUUUCUUGAUUAUUUUCAAUGGUCUUAGAUUGUUUAUUCCAAUAUGUUUUUAAUGCAUUUAAUUGCUUAACUAUCAAUUAAAUUGAUAAGGAAACCUAAACAUAACUUGGAAAAUGGAGUUUAGUGUAGGUUAAGGUUGGGAUAGCCUAUGAUCGUAUUUAUUUGUUUGGAUGAAUAAAUUGAUUUGUGUAUAGGAUAAGAAUAUACCUAUAUGCCAUAUGCAACUAGGAAUUCGAGCGUGAACUUAAUGAGUCUAUUUUAAUUUCAAUUCAUAUAGGAAUAUAGUGCUUUGAUUAAAAUAGAUAUUUUUUUAUAAGAGUUUUGGGAGAGCUUUAUAAAUAAUUGAGGACUCUAGGUUAUUAAUCAAAUCCAUUGAAUUAAGUUAGGAGAGAGAGGUAAGGUUUAGAUGAAACGUGAGAGAUAUUGUAAUCAUAGGUUUGUUUGAAUUGAUUUUUCUCCAAUUAUAUUAUUGCUUUGAUUUUUUUUAGUUAGAUUCUUGAUUAAUUAGAUUUAGUUAAAUUUUUUUAGUUUAAUUAGUUAUUCAAUUUCGAUUGUUUGGAUAAGAUUAAACUAUGAUAAUUUAGUACUUAACAAAAUUUUAGAUCAAUUCUUUAUGGGAUUGACACUCUAUUUGCCAUUAUAUUAUUUGUUUGAUACGUAUAUUUACGUGGGUAAAAAAUUAGACAACAAGUUUUUGACGUUAUUACUAGAGAAUUUUUUUCUAGAUAUUUUGUUAAUAUUAAUACUAAGCAAAGUUCGUCUUACUUUAAACUUUUUUUUCUUUUUGCUUUCAGGCAUCUUUGGUCGUUGUAUGAAAAGGAGAAGAAAGUUGAAUAUUAUUACUUUUGAUCUAGAGAUAGAAAAAACUUUUAGAAAAUCUUGAAGGAAAAAUUUGCAAGUUACAACUAUCAAUCAAACAAUGGUUGAAGAUAACAACACUAUUAAAAUGGCGACAAUGCUAUUAAUCAGCUUUCUGAAGUGAACAAGUCCUUACAAGAGUAUGCUAUUUUUUUUCUUACAAGGCUUGCACCAAGGCAUCAUAAGACCUCCCAUUAACACAAAAAAUUUUAAGAUCAAGCCUACUUACAUUCAAACGAUUCAGUCUUCAGUUCAAUUUGGUGGAUUACCUAGUGAUGAUCCUAGCUCUCAUCUAGUGAAUUUCUUGAAAAUUUGUGACACUUUCAAGUAUAAUGGGGUAACUGAUGAUGCUAUCAGAUUGAGACUUUUUCUAUUUUUAUUGAGGGAUAAGGCAAAGAGCUGAUUGAAUUCACUUCCAAUAAGAUCUAUCACUACAUGGGAUGUCUUGGCUAAAAAAUUUUUGGCUAGAUUAUUUCCACUAGCCAAGAUUACAAAGAUAAGGAGUGAUAUAACUACUUUUACACAAUUUGAUGGUGAAUCCUUGUAUGAAGCUUAGGAGAGAUUUAAGGAUCUACUUAAAAGAUACCCGCAACAUGGGCUUUCAAAAUGGUUGCAAGUUCAGACAUUCUUCAAUGGGUUAAUGAGUUCAGUUAAAGCUAUAAUUGAUGCUGUAACUGGUGGGGCAUUAAUGGGUAAGAAUCUUGAUGAGGCUUACAAUUUUUUGAAAGAGAUGGCAUCCAAUAAUUACCAAUGACCAUUUGUUAGAAAUUUUAGCUCAAUGAAUCAAGUAACAAAAAUAUGCAAGAGGAGGUGUAUAGGAUUUUUAAAAAUUUUGGAAAAUGUAAAACAAUCAGCUAUAGUCGACUAUAAAAAUUAUCUAGUCAACUAUGGCUAUAAUUCUUUUCUCAAAUCAACUCAAAUUUCUUUCAAACAAAAUUGUGGAUGAUUAUAAAGACUCAAGAAUCAAUCCUAGACUGGAAAAUUCAUUUUGAAAACAUUUUAGAGGAAUUUCAACGAAAACUUUAAUGUAUAUGCAAAUUUUAAUCAAAGCUACUUAAUUAAUCAUAGAUAAAUGGCUACUUUGAAAAGCUUAAAUAUUCUUCAAAUGUGAAUCAAAUGAAGGUAACUUUGAGAAAAACAUUUCAAGAAAUCUUUUCAACAAGGAUUGGACAAUUUGUAAUGGUUGAAAAAUGUUUUUAACAAAGACACAAACCAAUUUUGUAAUGAGUACGAAAUUAAGGCUUAAGCAAUUUGUAAAAUGAGUUUUGCAGAGUCAAGUGCAAAAAAUUAAAGCAAUGGUAAAAAAGAAAAUGAAGACACAAGGAUUUAUAAUGGUUCGACUUUUUCAAAUGCUUACAUCCACUCCUUUGGCACACCAAGAAAUUUCCAAUCCACUAAAAAGGAUUUUAGCUUUUUAACGAGAAGCAAUAACCUUUACACAAUCCAUCAAAGGGAUUCUUGCUUUUCAACGGGAUCAUGCGAUAACCCAUGGCUUUAACGGGUUCACUACAAACCCAUGGCUUUUUAAAUAGGCUCACAAUAAACCCAUACACAAUCCACAAAGGGAUUCUUGCUUCUUGAUAGGAAGCAAUAACUUUUACAAAAUAGCUUUUCAAGGCUAAGCUAGAACCUUUACAAGGAUAUUAAUAGUGCCUCUAAAAGGUAGAUUUUGCUUAGUGGGUACAAUGGAGGAAGAAUACUUAACAUUGGUAUAAAGAUAGGAUAUAAAGAUAGGAGUGAAAUCGCAAACAAAGUUUAGCUCAAGUAGGCUUGGUUUUUUCUGAUUUCUUUUCAAAACCAUGAUCUUUAAGAUUUUGGCCCUUUUUCUUUCUUCUUCUUCAACUUGAAAUGCUUCACAAUGGUCCUUUCUAUAGUUGAAACAAUCUUGAAGCCAUUGGAGGUGAUUAGAACAAGAAACCAAUCGUUUUCCCUUUGAAUUUUGUGUAUAACGGUCACUUGUAGUCGACUAUUGAAGUUCUCUAUUCGAUCUUUUUCUAGAAAGCUUGUAUUUUUUAAAUAUGGCUUGGUGUAGUCGACUACCACUCGUUAGGGUGGAAUAUGGCUUCAUAAAGGCUUGGAUUUCAUGUGCACACUUCCUUAGGGUUGACUACAGGUUGUAUGGGGUUGACUAUGGCUAUUUUUUUUUCAAGCUUUCAUGCUACCAAGUGUAGAAAUUGCAAUAGUCUAGCCUCUUUUGACAUGAUUUUGACCUCAAUCUGAACUGGGUGAAAUGGUAAACAUCAAAGUUAUAGCCUUAUCCAUUGGCGUUCCACUUAUUCAAGAAUCACAUCUAUUGGGCUUUGGUAGUAAGAUUUAUGCUCGAAAUACUAUAACAUGUAUAAUAUACGCACUUAGCCAUACUUGCAUGAUUUAUCACCAUAAGAUUGACUUUCCUUGCUCUAAGACCAAUUUGAGCUUUGUUUCUUCAAGAUUCCUUGACAUUUUGGUACUUAACUUCAACUACUUUUGUCACGACCCAGAACUCCCAUCAAGCCCGUGACAACCGCUGCGAAGCCUAGACAGACAUUCUUCACCCUGAAUGCCGAUCAAAACCUCACAAGGCUCUCGUAUCAUCUUUCGCACUUCCCUGGUGAGCAAUAGUUAUCAAAUAUCGUAAUUCGAAGGAUUACGAGUCAUUUUCAAAUCAGAACAUAACAUAUUGUUUUCUGGCUCAUAGGGGCAUUUUCGUUAUUUUUUUGUCGAAAAUCUCAAAACUUGCUAAAAAUGUAGUAGGUAAGCAGAAAAAUAUAUGUUUAGUGAUUUAAAAACAAAUUAAGUAUCUAAAACGUUCAUUUGAAGUGAAAAUUUGACCAUUUGAAUAUAAUAAAGAUAUUCAAUAAAAUAAACUAUUUUCUUGUAAAAUAAUUUUUAUAAAGCUAUCGGUAAAUAAUUCUUAUAGCGUAAAAGUUAAUUAUAUUCAUGUAUGCUAUAAAGCAAAUAACCAAAGCAUAAAAUUACUUUUACAGUGACACGUUGGCCCACAUCUAACCAAAAUGCAUCGGAAGCUGAAAACUUACAGCUUUUGCCAAUUCAAGUCCAAAUGAGGGUCCUUGUCAAAGUCAGCUAACUAUAGAAUUCCCUAAGCCUGAAAUGUGAGGAAAAAAGGGUGAUGAGAUUAUAAAAUCCCAGUGAGGAAACAGACACCAUCUAAACUAUCUAAAGGCGAGUAAAUGGAGACGAAUUAAAAUAAGUCAUCAUACUGUAAUUUCAUUACCUUUCAACUCAUUUCAACCAAAUAAACAAAUAGGCUUAUGAUUUCCUGAAAAGCUUGGCUCGUGCCAAAAAUCAUUCUCAUACUCAAUUAUUAGGGAUACCUUGAUCGAGGGUUAUCCCAACCGAGUCCGCCAAGGCUGUUAAAUGUCUUUACAUCCGAAAUUUUAGCCAUGCCUUAGCGUUGGCUGAGUCUCACUCUCACGCGGUGGUCCACGUGAAGUGCGCUCAAAUCUUUACCUCAAGAGAUACUUCAUCCAACAUCUUCCCCCGAAGGUAAAUAUAUAAUUGGGUUACCGUACCCCUCUCAUAGGCAGUCUGCUGUAAUCCCCACCACUGUAGUGACUAUGGAUUAUUUUAUCUACCACCUGAUUUAUAAAAUCUUUUUCUGCAUGACAUGGCAAUUUAUCGCAACCUAGCCUCUCAAGGCUGAAUACGCAGUACAAAUAAUUCUAACACCAAAAAUCAGUUUAGCCAUUCAUGCUCAUUUAUUGUCAUAAGCCAUUCAAUUUAAAACCAGAAAUUUACAACACAAGCAGGCAGUCUCUAAUUACUCUAUUUUCAAAAUCAGUAUUCAAUUUUCCAGAAAAUUUAUAAAAUUAUUUUACAAAAUCACAAUUUUUCCUAAAACAUAGAAAUUUACCAUUUAAACCCAUUUUCCAUAAAAUCACACAAUUGUAUAAAACUACUCUAGAUAAUUAAGACAAUAAUAAGUUUACUCACAGUUUUAGGAGUCGAUGUACUCCUAAUCCCAAUCUCCAAGCACAAUCUCUGUACUUUUACCAGUGUGAUUUACUCACCACCUAUCCACAAUGUACAAUACAUAAUUCACCACAUCAAUGCUUGACCAUUAUAAAAUCAAUUCAGGCUCGAUGUAUAUGCAUGAUAUGAUAUGCAACUGAUCCGACUAUCGCUUAAAUACGAUGCUGACCUAAUUCGGCCUAUUACCCGAUUAAAUGACAAUUGUGUCCGAUUUGGCUCCAAAUUGCUCCAUUUCAUUUCUAAUAUUUCAAUUCACUAAAUUCAAUUCCAACAAUCUAAAAUUCAGCCUAACAACCCUCACAAUUCUUCUUGAAAAUUUUGGCCAUUGUGGUGCACUAUCACUAAAAAAAUUUUCAUUCCAUUUUCUCACCAUAAAUCAUCAUUUCAUCAAUUUUUCAACCAAUUCACUUGAUCACAAAAUCAAUUCAUUACUUCUACACUUCACAUAGUGUUCGGCCAUUGAAGGUUCAUGGGGAAAAUGGAUUCUUUUCUUGUUGUUUUGUUUCUAAACAUGCUUAACUAACUAAAAACACUAACAUAACUUAGAAUCAAAUCAAUUUAACAUCAUUCUCUCUCCAUACCCAUUCCAACCAGUCAUGAAUUCGUCAUGAAAACAUGUAAUUUAACCAUGAAAAUUAAGGGAAAAUGCAUGGGUAAGGAAAGUCUCUAGCAAAAUCAAAGAAAUUUUACCUUUGCUUGAUCAAAUCCUUGAAUUCCAACACUUUCUCUUUGAUUUUUCCCACCUAGGGUUUGUUCUUCCUUGGUUUCUCUUCUCUUCUGGUUUGGCUGACCACUAUGGGAGAAAUGGGCUGAUUUUUAUGCCUUUUUAUAAAGAAACAAUAAAAUAAUAAAAGCAUGACACAUGGCAUUUCCUU